AACGAACGCUGGCGGCAUGCCUAACACAUGCAAGUCGAACGAGAUCUUCGGGUCUAGUGGCGCACGGGUGCGUAACGCGUGGGAAUCUGCCCUUUGGUUCGGAAUAACAGUUGGAAACGACUGCUAAUACCGGAUGAUGACGAAAGUCCAAAGAUUUAUCGCCAGAGGAUGGGCCCGCGUAGGAUUAGCUAGUUGGUGUGGUAAAGGCGCACCAAGGCGACGAUCCUUAGCUGGUCUGAGAGGAUGAUCAGCCACACUGGGACUGAGACACAGCCCAGACGCCUGCGGAAGGCAGCAGUGGUGAAUAUUGGACAAUGGGCGAAAGCCUGGUCCAGCAAUGCCGCGUGAGUGAUGAAGGCCUUAGGGUUGUAAAGCUCUUUUACCCGGGAUGAUAAUGACAGUACCGGGAGAAUAAGCUCCGGCUAACUCCGUGCCAGCCGCCGCCGUAA
rnacentral:rRNA from 1 species